AGUGCAUCGUCUCCGGGGAGUCUUUGACUCAGCCUGUGCUGUCCAUUCACGUUCGAUCCUCAAAAUCCACCCAAAAUUACAGUGCAAAGACAUUUGCAUUAAUUUUAUGUGAAUAAUCAAUAACCCAGUAAUCACACCGAAUUGCCAGUGGCACAGUCUCGAAGAAGAUGGGGAGAUACAGAAGUCGAAGCAGAGAGCGCGAACGUCGGAGAAGAUCUAGGAGUCGCACCAGGAGUCGAUCACCUCGUGACAGGAGGGGAUGGGGUGGCGGAGGUGUCAGGGAUCGUGGGGGAGGUAAUCGAGGGGGUAGAAAUCAACCUGGAGCUAAUCUGAGGAAACCCAGGUGGGACAUGGGAAGGCUGGAGCCAUUCAAGAAGGAUUUUUAUAUUCCCUGUGAUGCUGUGAUCCAUCGGGAUCCCAGGAUCAUCGAGCAAUACAGGAGUCAGAAGGAGAUCACCCUCAGGGGCAAGAGUAUUCCCAAUCCAGUCUUCACUUUUGAUGAGGCCGGAUUUCCUGAUUAUGUCAUCAAGGAGAUCAAGAGACAAGGAUUCACGGAGCCAACGUCAAUCCAGGCCCAGGGCUGGCCAAUAGCUCUGAGUGGUCGUGACAUGGUGGGAAUAGCGUCAACGGGUUCAGGAAAGACCCUCUCGUAUAUUCUCCCAGCAAUAGUCCACAUAAAGAGUCAACCAAAACUGGGACGCAAGGAUGGACCAAUAGCUCUGGUGUUGGCACCAACUCGUGAGCUUGCCCAACAGAUUCAGCAAGUUGCUGAUGAUUUUGGUCACAGCUCUGGCAUCAGAAACACCUGUUUAUACGGUGGAGCGCCAAAAGGUGCCCAGGCACGUGAUCUCGAUGGCGGCGUUGAAAUUGUUAUCGCAACCCCUGGACGUCUACUGGAUUUCCUCGAAUCCGGAAGGACAAACCUGAAGAGAUGCACUUAUCUAGUGCUUGAUGAAGCUGACAGAAUGCUAGACAUGGGAUUUGAGCCCCAGAUAAGAAAAAUCAUUGAGCAGAUAAGACCUGACAGGCAGACCCUCAUGUGGUCAGCGACUUGGCCGAAAGAGGUGAAGAAUCUGGCUGAGGAUUUCUUGAAGGAUUAUGCACAGAUCAACGUUGGAUCUCUCCAGUUGUCCGCCAAUCAUAAUAUUCUACAAAUCAUCGAUGUCUGUGCGGAGUACGAGAAGGAGAACAAACUCAGUACACUCCUGAAAGAGAUAAUGGCCGAGCAAGAGAACAAGACAAUCGUAUUUAUCGAAACAAAACGUCGAGUUGAGGAAAUCACCCGGAAAAUGAAACGUGACGGUUGGCCAGCUGUAUGCAUUCACGGUGACAAGACCCAACAGGAGAGAGAUUGGGUAUUACAAGAUUUCAGGUCUGGUAAAGCUCCAAUUCUCGUAGCAACUGACGUGGCAGCACGAGGACUAGAGGCACAUUGCGCGCAGGCCCACGCCGGUUAAUGCAAAACUACGAAAGAUAUUAAUUGCCACUGAGAAAACAAUCAUAUCCUGGGUGUUCGGGAAUAUGUUAGCGGUGUGGUUUUGUCAAUAACGACCGCAUUAAACAUCCCGCUCGGUCUUCCCAAGGCGAUUGAUCAUGGCUUUGAACCGAAACCAUCCAAGUUUGCAUUGUCUGCGGUGGCUGCUGCGCGUGCCUCUCUUAUCACGUACAAUUCACCGCGAGAUAUAGGGGAGAGUGAUAAUGUGUGUCACGAGUGUUGAUCUCCAACAAUCAUCGAAAUAAACCUCGAUGGAUUAAUAUACGUAAUGAUAAUGGGAUAGAGACCACCGAGAAGGUAAUACCUAACGUCUUUCAUCCCCCUCCAAAUUAUCCUGAGGUGAUUACGAGGUGAUUAUGAGCUGAUUACGAGAUGAUUACGAGAUGAUUACGAGGUGAUUAUGGGGGAAUAAUCAUCGUGGUGUUCAUUCAACACCGUUACAACAAUUAUCAUGGUCAUUUGGUAAUUGUCGAGUUAAAACCAAAACAAUAGAGAGGAAAAAUGUGUGAGAGCAUUGAAGGCGUAUUGUUAUUGCCUAGAUGGGAUUUAUACCAGGUCUCUACUUGUACGUGGGAGAUGGGGUCUGGUGGGGGAUGGUGGAGAUGUCAUUUCCCAUCCCUCACUAACACAACACAAACACACGGGGUUGCAAUUAGCAACCAAUUAGUGGGCACGCCGAGGCUGAUGGGUACCUGAGCUAAAACGAAUACAGCCUGGCGACUGCCAUCCGUACGUUGCUAUCGACAAUUCGCCCGAUGACAUUUAUUUAACGUUGAAGACGUCAAGUUUGUUAUAAACUUUGACUAUCCAUCGUGUUCCGAAGACUAUGUACAUCGAAUUGGACGUACUGGUCG